rnacentral:rRNA from 1 species
GAUGAACGCUGGCGGCGUGCCUAAUACAUGCAAGUCGAGCGAACAGACGAGGAGCUUGCUCCUCUGACGUUAGCGGCGGACGGGUGAGUAACACGUGGAUAACCUACCUAUAAGACUGGGAUAACUUCGGGAAACCGGAGCUAAUACCGGAUAAUAUAUUGAACCGCAUGGUUCAAUAGUUAAGGACGGUUUUGCUGUCACUUAUAGAUGGAUCCGCGUCGGAUUAGCUAGUUGGUAAGGUAACGGCUUACCAAGGCGACGAUGCGUACCCGCCCUGUGCGGGUGACCGGCCACACUGGAACAGACACACGGUCCAGACUACUACGGGAGGCAGCAGUAGGGAAUAUUCCGCAAUGGGCGAAAGCCUGACGUAGCAACGCCGAGUGAGAGAUGAAAGUCUUCGGAUCGUAAGACUCUGUUAUUAGGGAAGACAAAAUUUCGAAGUAACUAUGCACUUCUUGACGGUACCUAAUCAGAAAGCCACGGCUAACUACGUG